CUGUUAUACCACUGUCCCAGGUUAGGGGGAGGCUUGAGAUCCGGUAACAUGUUUAACCCCGCCACAUUAUUUAGGUAUGUGCCUGUCCUAAGUCAGGAGCCUGUAAUUCAGUGGUUGUCGUUUGUUUAUGAGUUAUAUAUAUUUGUUUUUCGUUCAUUUUUUUACAUAAAUAAGGCCGUUAGUUUUCUCGUUUGAAUUGUUUUACAUUGUCUUAUCCAAGCAUUUUAUAGCUGACUAUGCGGUAUGGGCUUUGCUCAUUGUUGAAGGCCGUACGGUGACCUGUAGUUGUUAAUGUCGAUGUCAUUUUGGUCUUUUGUGGAUAGUUGUCUCAUUUGCAAUCAUACCACAUCUUCUUUUUGAAAGUUUAAUUUUGGACCCCUAAUUCC
rnacentral:lncRNA from 1 species